rnacentral:rRNA from 1 species
AGAGUUUGAUCCUGGCUCAGGAUGAACGCUGGCGGCGUGCCUAAUACAUGCAAGUCGAACGAAUCUUCUUCGGAAGAUGAGUGGCGAACGGGUGAGUAAUACAUAGGUAACCUGCCCCUGUGCGGGGGAUAACAGGAGGAAACUCCUGCUAAUACCGCAUAGCCAUGAGCACCGCAUGGAGCUCAUGCCAAAUAUCCUUCAGGGGAUAGCGCAGGGAUGGACCUAUGGCGCAUUAGCUAGUUGGCGGGGCAACGGCCCACCAAGGCAACGAUGCGUAGCCGGCCUGAGAGGGCGGACAGCCACAUUGGGACUGAGACACGGCCCAGACUCCUACGGGAGGCAGCAGUAGGGAAUUUUCGGCAAUGGGGGAAACCCUGACCGAGCAACGCCGCGUGAGCGAAGAAGGCCUUCGGGUCGUAAAGCUCUGUUGUAAAGGAAGAACGUCGCAUGCAGGAAAUGGUGUGCGAGUGACGGUACUUUACCAGAAAGCCACGGCUAACUACGUGCCAGCAGCCGCGGUAAUACGUAGGUGGCGAGCGUUAUCCGGAAUCAUUGGGCGUAAAGAGGGAGCAGGCGGCCGCAAGGGUCUGUGGUGAAAGACCGAAGCUAAACUUCGGUAAGCCAUGGAAACCGGGCGGCUAGAGUGCGGAAGAGGAUCGUGGAAUUCCAUGUGUAGCGGUGAAGUGCGUAGAUAUAUGGAGGAACACCAGUGGCGAAGGCGACGGUCUGGGCCGCAACUGACGCUCAUUCCCGAAAGCGUGGGGAGCAAAUAGGAUUAGAUACCCUAGUAGUCCACGCCGUAAACGAUGGUCACUAAGUGUCGGGGGUCAAACCCCGGUGCUGCAGUCAACGCAAUAAGUGACCCGCCUGAGUAGUACGUUCGCAAG